CCCAGACUCCUACGGGAGGCAGCAGUGGGGGAUAUUGCACAAUGGGGGAAACCCUGAUGCAGCGACGCCGCGUGUGGGAAGACGGUCUUCUGGAUUGUAAACCACUGUCCCCAGGGACGAAAAUGACGGUACCUGGGGAGGAAGCUCCGGCUAACUACGUGCCAGCAGCCGCGGUAAUACGUAGGGAGCAAGCGUUAUCCGGAUUUACUGGGUGUAAAGGGAGCGUAGACGGCAGUGCAAGUCCGGAGUGAAAGCCCGGGGCUCAACCCUGGGACUGCUCUGGAAACUGUAAAGCUGGAGUGCGGGAGGGGCAGGCGGAAUUCCUGGUGUAGCGGUGAAAUGCGUAGAUAUCAGGAGGAACACCGGCGGCGAAGGCGGCCUGCCGGACCGUAACUGACGUUGAGGCUCGAAAGCGUGGGGAGCAAACAGGAUUAGAUACCCCCGUAUG
rnacentral:rRNA from 1 species